rnacentral:rRNA from 1 species
UACAGAGGGGGCAAGCGUUGUUCGGAAUUACUGGGCGUAAAGGGCGCGUAGGCGGCCUUCUAAGUCGAACGUGAAAUCCCCGGGCUCAACCCGGGAACUGCGUCCGAGACUGAAAGGCUUGAAUCCGGGAGAGGGAUGCGGAAUUCCACGUGUAGCGGUGAAAUGCGUAGAGAUGUGGAGGAACACCAGUGGCGAAGGCGACUUUCUGGCCUAUAACUGACGCUGAGGCGCGAAAGCGUGGGGAGCAAACAGG